rnacentral:rRNA from 1 species
UGCGUAGGUGGUUUCUUAAGUCAGAGGUGAAAGGCUACGGCUCAACCGUAGUAAGCCUUUGAAACUGGGAAACUUGAGUGCAGGAGAGGAGAGUGGAAUUCCUAGUGUAGCAGUGAAAUGCGUAGAUAUUAGGAGGAACACCAGUUGCGAAGGCGGCUCUCUGGACUGUAACUGACACUGAGGCACGAAGCGUGGGGAGCAAAC